rnacentral:piRNA from 1 species
CAUUUUAACCCAAAUCAAAA